GCGCCCAUAGCUCAGAUGGAUAGAGUACUUGGCUACGAACCAAGGGGUCGGGCGUUCGAAUCGCUCUGGGCGCGCCA
rnacentral:tRNA from 1 species